UGCCGGAUCGUCUAACGGUAGGACAACGGACUUUGGAUCCGUUUACCAUGGUUCGAAUCCAUGUCCGGCAGCAA
rnacentral:tRNA from 4 species